ensembl:lncRNA
GCAGGAUUAGCCAAGAAACUUUUGCUAAAAGAGUGCGCAAUUCCAAUUUUGCGUGGAAUACCUGCAGACGAGGGACAUGCAAGUAGUUCUAUACAAUUAGCUGUCUUUAUUUUGCAAUUCUACACGAACUAACCAAGAAGUGUUUUGGCAAACUAACAUUUUAGCUAGCUAGUGUUUUGCCACAUAGUACAAGGUAACGCUAACCGCUAGCUUCUAGCUAUUAUAAUAUUGUAUUUACAAACGGGAAUAUGUUAGCGUUGUUUAGACCAUUAGACCGUUACUACGCUCUCCCCGCUACCAUGGUAACAUUUAGAGUGGGCAUGGGCAAAGGAGCAGCAGCUAAUGAAUAUGCAAUGAGCAGCAGAAAACAGAACAUUUUGAAAGGGACUGAAACAGAGGGUAAUAGAGGGAGUCCUCCUCAACGCUGUAGUCCAGGAUGGAGCCCACUCCAUAAGCACCAUUCUUCUGAAUCAGAGGCUGGAUGGACUUGUGAUCCUGCUACAAACUGACCGUAGAAUGUCAUCUUCAUAAACUGCUGAAAGGCUGACUUUCCAAGUAACUUUCUUAUAUCCAGUAGGUAG